UUGGUGGUGUUUGAGUAUCUG
rnacentral:siRNA from 1 species